rnacentral:rRNA from 1 species
UACGUAGGGUGCGAGCGUUAAUCGGAAUUACUGGGCGUAAAGCGUGCGCAGGCGGUCUGUUAAGACAGAUGUGAAAUCCCCGGGCUUAACCUGGGAAUGGCAUUUGGGACUGCAAGGCUUGAGUGCGGCAGAGGAGACUGGAAUUCCUGGUGUAGCAGUGAAAUGCGUAGAUAUCAGGAGGAACACCUGUGGUGUAGACGGCUUACUGGACCAUGACUGACGCUGAGGCACGAAAGCGUGGGGAGCAAGCAGG